rnacentral:rRNA from 1 species
AACCAACGCUGGCGGCGUGCCUAACACAUGCAAGUCGAACGGGGAAAGCUUUCGGGUGAGUACUAGUGGCGCACGGGUGAGGAAAGCGUGGAUAAUCUGCCUUAGAGUGGGGGAUAAGUAGUCGAAAGAUUAGCUAAUAUCGCAUAAGACAACGAGAGCUGCGGCUUUUUAGGUCAAAGGUUUUUUGCCCUAAGAUGAGUCGGCGUACGAUUAGCUAGUUGGUGAGGUAACAGCUCACCAAGGCGACGAUCUUUAACUGGUCUGAGAGGAUGAUCAGUCGCACUGGAGCUAAGACACGAUGCAGACGCCUACGGGGGGCAGCAGUAGGGAAUAUUGCACAAUGAAGGAAGCUCUGAUGCAGCGACGCCGCGUGGGUAAUGAAGGCCUUCGGGUCGUAAAGCUCUGUCGCAAGGGAAUAACACAAUGAAAGUACCCUGUAAGAAAGGUUCGGCUAACUUCGUG